rnacentral:rRNA from 1 species
CCUACGGGGUGCUGCAGUAGGGAAUAUUGCUCAAUGGGGGCAACCCUGAAGCAGCAACGCCGCGUGGAGGAUGAAGGUUUUAGGAUUGUAAACUCCUUUUGUGAGAGAGGAUAAUGACGGUAUCUCAAGAAUAAGCACCUGCUAACCCCGUGCCAGCAGCCGCGGUAAUACGGAGUGUGCAAGCGUUACUCAGAAUCAAUGGGCGUAAAGAGUGCGCAGGCGGGCUUGUAAGUCAGAUGUGAAAUCCUUUAGCUUAAAGACAGCACUGCAUUUGAAACUAGGAGUCUAGAGUGUGGGAGAGGUAGGUUGAAGUCUUGGUGGAGGGGUAAAAGCCGUAGAUAUCAAGAGGAAUACUCAUUGCGAAGGCGACCUACUGGAACAUGACUGACGCUCAGGUACGAAAGCGUGGGGAGCAAACAGGAUUAGAUACCCGUGUAGUC